rnacentral:rRNA from 1 species
UGCGCAGGCGGUGCACCAAGCUCGAUGUGAAAGCCCCGGGCUUAACCUGGGAAUUGCAUUGAGGACUGGUGUGCUCGAGUGCGGCAGAGGGGGGUGGAAUUCCACGUGUAGCAGUGAAAUGCGUAGAGAUGUGGAGGAACACCGAUGGCGAAGGCAGCCCCCUGGGCCGACACUGACGCUCAUGCACGAAAGCGUGGGGAGCAAACAGGAUUAGAUACCCUGGUAGUCCACGCCCUAAACGAUGUCAACUGGUUGUUGGGGAAGGAAACUUCCUUAGUAACGAAGCUAACGCGUGAAGUUGACCGCCUGGGGAGUACGGCCGCAAGGUUAAA